rnacentral:misc_RNA from 1 species
UACGGAGGGUGCAAGCGUUGUCCGGAUUUAUUGGGUUUAAAGGGUGCGUAGGCGGCUUUUUAAGUCAGUGGUGAAAGCCUGCAGCUUAACUGCAGAACUGCCAUUGAUACUGAAGAGCUUGAGUACAGACGAGGUAGGCGGAAUUUAUGAUGUAGCGGUGAAAUGCAUAGAUAUCAUAAGGAACACCGAUUGCGAAGGCAGCUUACUAGACUGUAACUGACGCUGAGGCACGAAAGCGUGGGGAGCAAACAGG